UAGUGUCAUUAAUUCACAUGUCCUUCUAACACAUGCCACUCCAGUUAAUGUACAAAUCCCAAAUCCCUCAAUGCAAAAUACACUGACCUCCUCAUUAAAGUAUCUAAUGGCAUGAAGCCUGGUUUGCAUGUAUCCACUGUCUAGUGCUCUGGAUCAGGAAUAAUUACAGGGCAGCAUUUCUGUUCCUGAGCUAGGAGGCAGAAGUAUCUAUGUCACCAGAAAAUAAGACUUUCCUCAUGUCUCAUGCUGCCUUUUCUAAAUGUUGGGGUGUGUUAUGGGGCAGCACAUCCCACUGUGCCCUGCGAGGAGAGGCUGCCCUGGCGUCAGUGUUGGGGCGCUCCAGCAUCCUCUGAAACCUCUGUCUGUCUCACAGCAUCCUUUGACAUCUUGCUGUUGGGCCCCUAAAGGUAAAUAUACCUUAUUCAUCCCUGUGCUUACUCCACUAGCAGCAACUUUUCUGACAGGAAAGGGUCACUGCUGACGGCAGCUGGCAUUAGUCUCUGUCCAAAGCUCAGCUGGGUUCCCAGGCACCGAACAGAGGGAUUUCCUGCAGUCUGGCCCCAUCCCUCAGGCAGCCCCUGAGGUUUCUCACUUGUUGGAAAAGAAACACUUUAUGGGGAGCAGAGAUGGGGUGCUUGCUGUUCCUGGGGCUAUACAGAAAAGGCCCAGCACCUCAGUGUGCAUCUUUGCUAGUGAACAGCCUUAUACAGGAAGGAAAGGCAGAAGCAACUGUUCUCUUUCUUUCUUUUUUCACCAUUUUUCUAAUAGGCCUCUGGAGAAGUGAACGUACUUCUGGUAAGUGCCUGGAGAGAGCAGUUAUCUUCAACAUGGUAUGGAGUUUUCAGCAAAUGUAUCCUGCAUCUCUUGGGGCACUUUGGGAUGUCAGUGCUGCAGAUGUGUGUGCAGCUGGUGCAGCAACCGAAGGAAACUGCCGUUACAACACACACAAACUGGACUUUUGUUCCCUGCCAGCACCACAUGCAGCCUGAGUAAUAUUUGUCCUGUUUCCACAUUAAGAGAGAGAGAAUGUGCUGGGUGUUUUCAACAGGAUUUAAGUCUUCAGAGUGCACAUAUUCAGGCUUUAUUCUGAGCCUUUCAGGGAAGCAAAGAAGACACUGAGAUCCUCCUGUAAUCACCUGCCUCCGGGAGCUGCAACUCCACAGACAGUACUGGGUAUCAGAAGAGCUGGCAAAAUCACAGGGGUUCAGAGCUGUCUUAUCUGGCUGCGGCGGUUUUUACAUCUGGAGACUCUCCUGAGAAACCUCUCAUUACGCCUUUGGAAGAAAAGAAACACUGUAAGUAUUCCUAAGAUUAGUAACGAUAUAAACAUUUCAGUUGUGCAAACUCAUGAAUAUUCACUCACAUGAAGUUGGGCUUUAGUUAUAUUCAGCUCCUGAUUAAGAUGUUAGACAAAGCAGACAUUCUCCAGUAUACUUUGUAUGUGUGUUCUGGGGCUAAAUAAUACUGGCAUCAUUGCUGUAGCUGCAAAUAUUCAUUUCAAUGUUUAUGAGAAAUUACGUUCUUCAAAAUAUAAAAACAAUAGUUAUGGGGCUUUUGUGGUUAUAUUUUGUUGAAAUAUGCUUGCAGAAAUAGCUGGAAAAUAUUCUGGUGAUUGGUCUCAGCUUAUCUCCCUUUUAAGAGGAAAUAGUAAGGGAAGUGUGGGCCAGUUUGAACCUGCAGAGGAUCUAACAAGAUGCUGGUGCUCAGCAGUGGAGUUUACAAAACAGUAUGCUCAGUGCAAGCAGUGAUAUGGUGAACCUGCCAAACAAGGAGACUCCUUUACCCAAAUGGUGAUCAGACAUUAGAACAGGCAACCUCCUCUGCUUCAGCAUGAUUUAUUCGCAGCACAAUCUGCAAAUCCUUUGUGCUGCUUUGCUGGCAUAAAGAGCCACCAAGUGAUGAAGAGCUUUGGGAUAGACUAAGUGAGGUGUGCUGAGCCUUUUGGGGCCUCUCCCCAUUGCCGACCAGUCCCCGAGCACCAGCAAAGCUGGGCGCUGCAGACCCCUGGAUCUGCUCCAGCUCAGCCUUUGUUGGCACCCUGCACCACACAGCAAAUGAGAGCUGGUGCCAAGGCAAAUGCAUUAGCGCAGUCUGCUGGCAGCUUGUUCUCUCUAUUCCAACUAAGAUGUUUGAAAAAUAUCCCUGGUUUUGUUCACCGGAGUGUUGGCAACAAAGCAAGGAAUGUAGGGGAGCAUCACAUGGGGAAUAAUGACAGGCUAAAUGUUAUUUUCAUUACAGCCACAUUAACAUGAUUAGAGAAGGUGGUCACAGUGCAAGAGGAGUUUUCUGUCCUCCUUCAGUUCUCCAUUACUGGAGACAUUAAUCCAAAACCAAACCCACCCGUCUUUCCCAAAAUCUUACUCAUAUCUUUCAUUCUCCUUUCCUGCUGCAGUCUGUGAGCCUUCAGCUUGCUGGCAUGCUUCAGAUGAUUUUUAAAACAUCAGCAGAUGGUAGCCAUGAAUAGUUAAUACCCAUGGACGUAUUUUCUGUCCAUAGGUUUCCCAGCACAGGGACUGCCUUCCUCACUACACACCCCCUAAUUACAGAAAUCUUCACCUGUAAGAUGGUCCCAUGGUGUUGUCAAGACAGAGCAGCUUUUGAGCACUGUUUUGUGUAGUCAUGCACCAUGCUUCACAUCCCUAAAGCAAAUAGAAAAUUGCCAGAGGGUCUCCCCCUUUCAGAAAAAGGAGAAAGAAAUCCUCUAAGUCUGAAGGACAGAAAGACAAGGAGUGGGCAAAGGCAAAUGCUGCUCAGGGAAAUAAUCACCCAAACUUAGGAAGCAAAAGAACCUUGAAUGAAACAGAAAAUUGAGCUUGGAUAAUUUUCCAAUUCAUUAACUGCUGAAAUGGAGCAAAUUCCACAUCUGGACCUGACUUCAUUAAAUCUCAGGUUUGAGUCACAUUGACCUCUUACUGCCGAAUCCCAUCCCUCUCUAACCAGAGUAGGAAGCUGGUCCCUUAGAGAGACACUCGCCCAGCAGUGCUGUCCCAUUGCAGACAUUCCCGUCAAGCAGCUCCAAGCUGUCCAUCCAAGAUUUACUCCCAGCCUUUUGAACCCAGCUCUGCUUUUCAAAGCACAGCAGGACACACUACUUCAUGCCUUGAAAUCCUGGAGGUAAAACAAACAACAUCAGCGUGCACAGAGCUAACAUAGCUUGGACACAGUGCUGCUCCUGCUCUUCAAUCCCACCGAGAUGGCCUGGAAAUGCUGUACUGUGGCAGUGCUGGGCAGUGAGGAGCAGACCCAGAGCACCAGUGCUGCAACAGGACAGUUGGCUGUAAAAUUGUGCAGCACGUAGUUGUCUCCAUAAUUUCUGACAGCUCAAAAGGUUUGUGACCAGGAGGGCCAACAGAAAAAAAAAAAAAAAAAAAAGUUACUCAUAUUUAGUCACCCUCAGUCCAUAUUUAGGCACCUACAUACAUUGCCCACUUCCCAGCUGGGACAGACAGCAUUUUAGUUGCGAGGAACUGAGAUCAAGCUCAGCAGGAUGCCCACACAUUUCAGCAUCCCACACACUUAAUACCCAUGAAUGUUGCAACAUAGCAACUAGUCUGUAAUUAGUACAGACGUUGCCAAAGCUGCCUUUGUAUUACUUAUGAGUCAUGCUACUAAAAUAUUCUUUAUUCAUUAUCCAAGUCCUUUUCAUUUCAGUGCCAGCCAUUACCAUGUUGCAGGCUACACAGGACUCUGUCAGGCUUGUCAAAGCCAAGUGCUUUCUGAUAGGGAUCUUCAUAUUUAAUCUGACGAAGAAUUACUUUACAAAAGAGUGAGAUCAAAAAGGUUCAUCUCUGAACAAAAGAAGAAAGAAAAAUUUAAACGCAUCUCAAAGUAAGGGAUCUUCUCCUUGUUGCUUCUCCAGGCACACAUCUAGUUAGGAGAACCACUUUCAAACUUGGCUUAUAUUGUUCUGUCAGUUAAUUAAAUAUUUUAAUGCCCUUCUAGUUAACGAGCAGGGAAAAAGGCUCAUGAAAAACUCAAACUGAAUAUGAAACUUUUUUUCAUCUUUAAUGUAAUAUAUGGAACAGAAAGGGGGAAAUGUAGCUGAAAUGUAUUAUGACAAGCAAAUAAAAGUAAUAUCAGAAAAUUCCUUUGGGCAGAUUCUGUUCUAGGCCACUAGUAUUUACUAAGAUUUAUUUUUUUAUUCACCGUGUUAUUAAAUCACUGGGUUGGAAAGUCCUUGGGUCAUUUCAAACCACUGUCUCAUUGAUUUCCUAUUCCUAAAGCAUCCUUAAUAUAGGAUUGUCAUUAGAGCCGAUGACAACGAUCCCUCGAUUUCCCUCGGCAGUGGACUAAUUGUCUAAAUGUUCUUGCUGUUGAAGAUGAACACUGACAGAUUAAUUCAGGCCCCAAGACCAGCAAUUCUCUUUAGCCUUUGGAAACCCGCUGUAUCUAUGCUUCAGGGAACAACUACUUUCCCACCCAGAUCUGUAUCAGAGCUGGAGCAUUUUUUCUGGGCCAUGCAAGCACUGGAGAGAAGAGGCCAACCCUGGUACCUGUCGGUGCAACACUGGACCAGUGUAACAAGAUUACUGACGCUAGUAAUGCCUGAGACAGGCCUGAAAUGUAUUCUCUGUGUCAGAGCAAAUCAAAGUGCAGUCAAGAAUAAUCUUUGAACUAUUCAGUUUAGCAAUCUAAUUAUUUCUCAAUUAGAAAGGGCAUGGCAGAAAUGCAGUACAGCAUGCUAUCAAGAAGACAGAAAGAAAACUUCCAAAGCAUUAAUCUAGUAAUAAAAUUAAAUUUCUAUUUUUAAGAUGAAUCAAAAAUUUUUUCCCCCAUGUUAUCCAUCUUCCUUUCAAUAAAUCCCUGAGAGCACAGAAGCUUGGCACUAGAAUGUACUUAAUGCCUUUCAGGAGAAACCAGACUCAGUGGCAUCAUUUCCUGCAGGCAUUACAGACCUGGAAAAACACAUCCACAUCUGUAUGGGGAAUGGCACCAGCUCCUUCUCCCAGAUCAAAACCCAGCAGCAGUGACUUGCCAAGGAUCUAUGGCAAAAGGCUGGGCUCUGUGCUGCACAUAAACAGACAGAUGUGCAUGACUUGCCCCACACUGGAAGACCCCAAAUUCAUGUCACACAGACUCCCAAACCCUGGCACAUUGCAGCGUGGAUUGAGCAGGGGUCAUGUUUCUCACCUUGCUCCCAUGCUGGGACCAGCCUGCACACGGAGAGGGUCUCUUCACGGCUGGGGACGUACUGCUGCAUCAGUACAAGGAGGGACAGGACCAAAGCAACUGGGAGGAACCACCAGAUGGACAGCUGAAGAAGUGCUGCUUUUACUCACCUUUUUUCUACUCCCUUUUGCAAGUGUUUUUGACCAGUACUAAAAGCACAUGCAUCUGUGUCCUGGUUUUGGCUGGGAUAGAAUUAAUUUUUCCUCUUAGUAGCUAGAACAGUGCUGUCUUUUGGAUUCAGUCUGGGAUUUGAUAUGAGAAGAAUGCUGAUAAUACACUGAUGUUUUCAGUUGUUGCUAAGAGAUCAAGGACUCUCCAACUCCCCAUGUCCUGCCCGUGUACAAGAAGCUGGGAGGGAGCACGGCCAGAGCACCGGACCCACAUCAGCCACUGAAAUACUCCAUAUCAUGUAACAUCAUGCUCAGUGUAUAAAGGAGGGUUGGCCAGGAAGGAGGGGGUUCUCUCUCGCUUCUGGGAUUGUGACUGGAGGAUCUUGGUUUUUCAGGAUUUCUAGCCAGGAAUGGGCUGGGUGUCAGUUGGCAGGUGGUGAGCAAUCACAUUGUGCAUUACGUGUUUGUACUUUCUAUUAUCGUUAUUGUUUUAUUUUAUUACAAUUAUUAAACUGUUUUUAUCUUAACCUAUGAGUCUCCCUUUAGCCCUGCAAUUUUUUUCCCUAUCCCCUUGUCAGGGGGAGGGUGAGCGAGUGGCUGCAUGGUA